rnacentral:ncRNA from 1 species
UCAAAGGCCCUUUUCAGGGCCCCAAAACGUCAAGAAAAGAGCUGU